rnacentral:tRNA from 1 species
GUCUUAUUAGCUUAAUAGUAAAGCAUAAUACUUCUAAUAUUACGAUCUUAGUUUAAUUCUAAGAUAAGGCU